rnacentral:rRNA from 1 species
GUGUCAGCCGCCGCGGUAAUACGUAGGUGGCGAGCGUUAUCCGGAUUUACUGGGCGUAAAGUGAGCGCAGACGGUUUUUCAAGUCAGAUGUAAAAUCUCUCGGCUUAACCGGGUGGUCGCAUUUGAUACUGUUAAACUAGAGGACAACAGGGGGAGGUAGAAUUCCCGGUGUAGUGGUGGAAUGCGUAGAUAUCGGGAGGAAUACCAGUGGCGAAGGCGGCCUCCUGGGUUGUUUCUAACGUUCAUGCUCGAAGGUGUGGGGAGCAAACAGGAUUAGAUACCCUGGUAGUCCACACUGUAAACGAUGGACACUAGGUAUAGGGAGUAUCGACCCUCUCUGUGCCAAAGCUAACGCGUUAAGUGUCCCGUCUGGGGAGUACGGCCGCAAGGCUAAAACUUAAAUGAAUUGACGGGG